GUGAGUGACCGUAAUGGGUAAAGAAGCACCGGCUAACUACGUGCCAGCAGCCGCGGUGAUACGUAGGGUGCGAGCGUUGUCCGGAUUUAUUGGGCGUAAAGGGCUCGUAGGUGGUUGAUCGCGUCGGAAGUGUAAUCUUGGGGCUUAACCCUGAGCGUGCUUUCGAUACGGGUUGACUUGAGGAAGGUAGGGGAGAAUGGAAUUCCUGGUGGAGCGGUGGAAUGCGCAGAUAUCAGGAGGAACACCAGUGGCGAAGGCGGUUCUCUGGGCCUUUCCUGAGGCGGAGGAGCGAAAGCGUGGGGAGCGAACAGGCUUAGAUACCCUGGUAGUGCACGCUGUAAGCGGUGGGUACUAGGUGUGGGGUCCAUUCCACGGGUUCCGCGCCGUAGCUAACGCUUUAAGUACCCCGCCUGGGGAGUACGGCCGCAAGGCUAAAACUCAAAGGAAUUGACGGGGCCCCGCACAAGCGGCGGAGCAUGCGGAUUAAUUCGAUGCAACGCGUAGAACCUUACCUGGGUUUGACAUGGAUCGGGAGUGCUCAGAGAUGGGUGUGCCUCUUUUGGGGUCGGUUCACAGGUGGUGCAUGGCUGUCGUCAGCUCGUGUCGUGAGAUGUUGGGUUAAGUCCCGC
rnacentral:rRNA from 1 species